CUACGGGCCGCUCCAGUGGGGAAUUUUGGACAAUGGGCGCAAGCCUGAUCCAGCCAUUCCGCGUGAGUGAAGAAGGCCUUCGGGUUGUAAAGCUCUUUCGCAAGGGAAGAAAACUUAUCCUCUAACAUAGGGUGAGGUUGACGGUACCUUGAUAAGAAGCACCGGCUAAGUACGUGCCAGCAGCCGCGGUAAUACGUAGGGUGCGAGCGUUAAUCGGAAUUACUGGGCGUAAAGCGUGCGCAGGCUGUUUUGUAAGUCAGAUGUGAAAUCCCCGAGCUCAACUUGGGAACUGCGUUUGAAACUACAAGACUAGAAUAUGUCAGAGGGGGGUAGAAUUCCAUGUGUAGCAGUGAAAUGCGUAGAGAUGUGGAGGAAUACCAAUGGCGAAGGCAGCCCCCUGGGAUAAUAUUGACGCUCAUGCACGAAAGCGUGGGGAGCAAACAGGAUUAGAUACCCACGUAGUC
rnacentral:rRNA from 1 species